CUAGUUUUCUCAGUGAUCUGCCAGA
rnacentral:miRNA from 11 species